rnacentral:rRNA from 1 species
UACGUAGGGGGCUAGCGUUGUCCGGAUUUAUUGGGCGUAAAGAGCGUGUAGGCGGCCAUGUAGGUCCGGUGUGAAAACUCGAGGCUUAACCUCGAGAUGUCAUCGGAAACCAUUUGGCUAGAGUCCGGAAGAGGAGAGUGGAAUUCCACGUGUAGCAGUGAAAUGCGUAGAGAUGUGGAGGAACACCGAUGGCGAAGGCAGCCCCCUGGGUCAACACUGACGCUCAUGCACGAAAGCGUGGGGAGCAAACAGG